UACGUAGGGGGCUAGCGUUGUCCGGAUUUAUUGGGCGUAAAGCGCGUGUAGGUGGCCAAGUAGGUCCGCUGUGAAAACUUGAGGCUCAACCUCAAGCUGUCGGUGGAAACCCCUUGGCUAGAGUCCGGAAGAGGAGAGUGGAAUUCCUGGUGUAGCGGUGAAAUGCGCAGAUAUCAGGAAGAACACCAAUGGCGAAGGCAGCUCUCUGGGACGGUACUGACACUGAGACGCGAAAGCGUGGGGAGCGAACAGG
rnacentral:rRNA from 1 species